rnacentral:rRNA from 1 species
UGGCCAGACUCCUACGGGAGGCAGCAGUGGGGAAUAUUGCACAAUGGGGGGAACCCUGAUGCAGCGACGCCGCGUGGGUGAAGGAGUACUUCGGUACGUAAAGCCCUAUCAGCAGGAAAGAAAAUGACGGUACCUGACUAAGAAGCCCCGGCUAACUACGUGCCAGCAGCCGCGGUAAUACGUAGGGGGCAAGCGUUAUCCGGAUUUACUGGGUGUAAAGGGAGCGUAGACGGCCGUGCAAGCCAGGGGUGAAAGCCCGGGGCCCAACCCCGGGACUGCCCUUGGAACUGCAUGGCUGGAGUGCGGGAGGGGCAGGCGGAAUUCCUGGUGUAGCGGUGAAAUGCGUAGAUAUCAGGAGGGACUCCGGCGGCGAAGGCGGCCUACUGGACGGUGACUGACGCUGAGGCUCGAAAGCGUGGGGAGCAAACAGGAUUAGAUACCCGGGUAA